AGGGCUGUAGCUCAGAGUUAGAGCCUCUGCCUUGCAUAUGCAAAAGGCCACAGGUUCAACCUCUGGCAUCCCCA